rnacentral:rRNA from 1 species
GACGAACGCUGGCGGCGUGCUUAACACAUGCAAGUCGAACGGAAAGGCCCUGCUUGCAGGGUACUCGAGUGGCGAACGGGUGAGUAACACGUGGGUGAUCUGCCCUGCACUUCGGGAUAAGCCUGGGAAACUGGGUCUAAUACCGGAUAGGAGCCAUUUUUAGUGUGAUGGUUGGAAAGUUUUUUCGGUGUAGGAUGAGCUCGCGGCCUAUCAGCUUGUUGGUGGGGUAAUGGCCUACCAAGGCGGCGACGGGUAGCCGGCCUGAGAGGGUGGACGGCCACAUUGGGACUGAGAUACGGCCCAGACUCCUACGGGAGGCAGCAGUGGGGAAUAUUGCACAAGGGGCGCAAGCCUGAUGCAGCGACGCCGCGGGGGGGAUGACGGCCUUCGGGUUGUAAACUCCUUUCGCUAGGGACGAAGCUUUUUGUGACGGUACCUAGAUAAGAAGCGCCGGCUAACUACGUG